rnacentral:rRNA from 1 species
GACGAACGCUGGCGGCGUGCUUAACACAUGCAAGUCGAACGGUUAGGCCCUGCUUGCAGGGUACUCGCGUGGCGAACGGGUGAGGAACACGUGGGGGAUCUGCCCUGCACUACGGGAUAAGCCUGGGAGACUGGGUCUAAUACCGGAUAGGUGCUACCUUUAGUGUGAUGGUUGGAAAGUUUUUUCGGUGUAGGAUGAGCUCGCGGCCUAUCGGCUUGUUGGUGGGGCAAUGGCCUACCAAGGCGGCGACGGGUAGCCGGCCUGAGAGGGUGGACGGCCACAUUGGGUCUGAGAUAAGGCCCAGACACCUACGGGAGGCAGCAGUGGGGAAUAUUGCACAAUGGGCGCAAGCCUGAUGCAGCGACGCCGCGUGGGGGAUGACGGCCUUCGGGUUGUAAACUCCUUUCGCUAGGGACGAAGCGUUUUGUGACGGUACCUAGAUAGGAAGCACCGGCUAACUACGUG